AUUUGCUUUAUGAUUCUCUUUUGAGAUGUUUUCCCUGUCAAUGACUAUGGUUGUCAGAUUCUUGUGUUAACUCAGAAUAAUUGUAGUUUGUGACUCUAGGUAUCAACUUAACUUGCUUACAAAGUCAUUCAGUGUAAACUCAGGAAGCUCAAAAUGCAACAGCUGAGUGAUAAAGCUCUGUAGUGGACAAAAUAUGGACCUCAGUUGUAGAGCUCCACUCCACAAAUGCAUCUAACAUCCUAUUGUAAACCCAUCUCCUUAGUAGGUGAAAGUUAUUGUAUUGAGUCUCAACCCCAUAGCUCCCGACAUAAACAAUGUAGCGAACCAGAAAUCAUGAACAGACCUAGUGUUCUAAGUUUGUAAUGAUC